rnacentral:lncRNA from 1 species
GGAUGAAGGCUCGGGUUGGGCGAGUGCGGACCCAGUAACAGAACCUGUGUGCAAGAGCUAGGUGAAGGACCUCUAGCACUAGGGAGCUCUGUCCACUUCUCUGAGGAAGUGAGGCCACGUGUGGGGUACCGCAACCAAUUCAUCAUUGCCUUCUCCAGCUGCUGGAGACAGGGCACCGGAGGGUGCACUCCAGGUUCAGGUGGCAGUGUUGAAGCCGAAAGCUUCUAAAGAAGUGGUUUCAGAAAAAUUAAGAGUUGAAUGUAUAUGAGUAAGCAAACGUAGGAAUCCAAAAAACCACAGGUAGAUAGCGGGGAGAAAGUAUAGGUAUGAGAAGGAUGCCAUACAUUUAUCAAAUACUGGAGUGUGAGAACACUGUAACCUGACUGCAGAAUUCAAGAUAUUCCAAAGAGACAAUGUGUGUCUCAAUCUGAUUGUGAGACUAUUGAAAGAAUGGACCCUGAAGAAAUGGACAUUUCCCUGAGAAGAAGAAAAAGCCAUCAGCCAGAGGGGGAGAUUAUCUCUGCAAAAGAGAUUUCACACAGUUAUAGCAACUUGUCAGAACACCUUUCAGUCCAGAUCAUGAUGGGUCAUUGCCUGGGACAGAUCAAGCCUAGUACCUUUCCAGCACUUAAGAAGAGUUCAUGCCCAAUCGAUUCACUAUUCAUCUUGAUUCCAUCAUGAAGGCUGGUCUUGGGUGUGAGUGAGUGAAGAAGCUGCUCCCAAACUCUCUGCUCUAAGGGAAGAUGGGGCUUGGAGGAGAUUUGACUUUGUAUAUAGUGCAUAUACAUGAAUGCUAGAUGCUGCAGGUAAAAUAGCUAACCUUAAGGAUAGGGUCUCCAGAAAAGAACAGGAUAGGUCCCUUAGAAAGUGACGAUCCUGGUACAGAAUGGGUUAGGAGAGCAGAGAAGCUGGUAGGUGGCUUCCAAUGUUAGGAGAGUUUCUUUUUAACAUUACUGUUUCUUAUGGAGCAUCUGCUUUGAGGUGUAUAUACCCCAGAGAAGGGGUACCCUUAAGGUCUUCAGGUGUUAUUCAUAGUAACAGCCUUUUUCUUUUAGUCCUAGUAAGCUGGCUAUAAAUCAGAUGGAAGAUUUGGGGAAAGCAGUACCAAUAUAAAGAUAUAGGAGCUGAUUUUUGUUGGUCUUUACUUGACAGAAAAUUCUAACAACAGGAAAGACUUGUAUCUGGGAUCAUUUUCCAUUCCUAGAAUAGGCCUACUCUUCCCCCCCCCCCUGUUGGAAGAAUGAUACCCAAGUGCUUAUUAUGUGAAGAAGGUGAUAAAUCGUUUGAAUAUAUAAGCUCUUGCUAAUAAGGUUACAGAAAACAAAGGCCAAACAAAACACUUGGAAUAAAAUCUUCAACCUGAA